GUGCUCACUUCGGCAGCACAUCUACUAAAAUUGGAACAAUACAAAGAGGAUUAGCAUGGCCCCUGCUCAAGGAUGACACACAAAUUCGUGAAGCGUUCCAUAUUUUU
rnacentral:snRNA from 1 species